rnacentral:rRNA from 1 species
GACGUAGGGCGCGAGCGUUGUCCGGAUUUAUUGGGCGUAAAGAGCUCGUAGGCGGCUUGUCGCGUCGACUGUGAAAACUUGGGGCUCAACCCCAAGCUUGCAGUCGAUACGGGCAGGCUAGAGUUCGGUAGGGGAGACUGGAAUUCCUGGUGUAGCGGUGAAAUGCGCAGAUAUCAGGAGGAACACCGAUGGCGAAGGCAGGUCUCUGGGCCGAUACUGACGCUAAGGAGCGAAAGCGUGGGGAGCGAACAGG